rnacentral:rRNA from 1 species
CAGGUACAGCGGGAGGCCAGGCGGCGACGCCGAGCGGAACCCGAAAAACCCUGUCUCAGUUCGGAUCGGAGUCUGCAACCCGACUCCGUGAAGCUGGAUUCGCUAGUAAUCGCGCAUCAGCCAUGGCGCGGUGAAUACGUUCCCGGGCCUUGUACACACCGCCCGUCAAGCCAUGGAAGCCGGGGGUGCCUGAAGUGUGCAGCCGCAAGGAGCGCCCUAAGGUAAAACCGGUGACUGGGGCUAAGUCGUAACAAGGUAUC